AUUGAACGCUGGCGGCAGGCCUAACACAUGCAAGUCGAACGAGUGGCGGACGGGUGAGUAAUGUCUGGGAAACUGCCCGAUGGAGGGGGAUAACUACUGGAAACGGUAGCUAAUACCGCAUACCAUCGGAUGUGCCCAGAUGGGAUUGGCUAGUAGGUGGGGUAACGGCUCACCUAGGCGACGAUCCCUAGCUGGUCUGAGAGGAUGACCAGCCACACUGGAACUGAGACACGGUCCAGACUCCUACGGGAGGCAGCAGUGGGGAAUAUUGCACAAUGGGCGCAAGCCGGAUGAAGCCAGGCCGGGGGUAUGAAGAAGGCCUUCGGGUUGUAAAGUACGUUCAGCGAGGAGGCGUUACUCGAAGAAGAAGCACCGGCUAACUCCGUGCCAGCAGCCGCGGUAAUAC
rnacentral:rRNA from 1 species